rnacentral:tRNA from 1 species
GCAAGCGUAGCUUAACUUAAAGCAUAACCCUGAAGAUGUUAAGAUGGACCCUAGAGUUGGUCCCGCAAGCA